ensembl:snRNA U7 U7 small nuclear RNA
CACUAUUACAGUUCUUUUAGAAUCUAUCUAGCAAAUUUUCUGGCUUUUCCUAGAAAAUCCCC